rnacentral:rRNA from 1 species
UGGGGGAUAUUGCACAAUGGGCGAAAGCCUGAUGCAGCGACGCCGCGUGGGGGAUGAAGGCCUUCGGGUUGUAAACUUCUUUUGCUCUGAACAAGGCGCACCAUGGGGUGUGUUGAGUGUAGGGGUUGAUUAGCGCCGGCUAACUACGUGCCAGCAGCCGCGGUAAUACGUAGGGCGCGAGCGUUGUCCGGAAUUAUUGGGCGUAAAGGGCUUGUAGGUGGCUGGUUGCGUCUGUCGUGAAAGCUCAUGGCUUAACUGUGGGUUUGCGGUGGGUACGGGCUGGCUUGAGUGCAGUAGGGGAGGCUGGAAUUCCUGGUGUAGCGGUGGAAUGCGCAGAUAUCAGGAGGAAUCACGGUGGCGAAGGCGGGUCUCUGGGCUGUUACUGACACUGAGGAGCGAAAGCAUGGGGAGCGAACAGG